rnacentral:tRNA from 1 species
GUCUUCGUGGUGUAAUUGGAAGCAUACUCGACGCAUAUUCGAAAGAUCCAAGGUUCGAGUCCCUGUGAGGCCA